rnacentral:rRNA from 1 species
AGUGAACGCUGGCGGUAGGCCUAACACAUGCAAGUCGAACGGCAGCACAGUAAGAGCUUGCUCUUACGGGUGGCGAGUGGCGGACGGGUGAGGAAUACAUCGGAAUCUACUUUUUCGUGGGGGAUAACGUAGGGAAACUUACGCUAAUACCGCAUACGACCUACGGGUGAAAGCAGGGGAUCUUCGGACCUUGCGCGAUUGAAUGAGCCGAUGUCGGAUUAGCUAGUUGGCGGGGUAAAGGCCCACCAAGGCGACGAUCCGUAGCUGGUCUGAGAGGAUGAUCAGCCACACUGGAACUGAGACACGGUCCAGACUCCUACGGGAGGCAGCAGUGGGGAAUAUUGGACAAUGGGCGCAAGCCUGAUCCAGCCAUACCGCGUGGGUGAAGAAGGCCUUCCGGUUGUAAAGCCCUUUUGUUGGGAAAGAAAAGCAGCAGGUUAAUACCCCGCUGUUCUGACGGUACCCAAAGAAUAAGCACCGGCUAACUUCGUG